UACAGAGGUCCCAAGCGUUGUUCGGAUUUACUGGGCGUAAAGGGUUCGUAGGCAGUGGGGUAAGUUUGAGGUGAAAGCUCCGGGCUCAACCCGGAAAAUGCCUUGAAAACUAUCCGGCUAGAGGGUUGGAGGGGAGACUGGAAUUCUCGGUGUAGCAGUGAAAUGCGUAGAUCUCGAGAGGAACACCAGUGGCGAAGGCGGGUCUCUGGACAGUAACUGACGCUGAGGAGCGAAAGCGUGGGGAGCGAACAGG
rnacentral:rRNA from 1 species